rnacentral:rRNA from 1 species
AUAGUUUGAUCCUGGCUCAGAUUGAACGCUGGCGGCAUGCCUAACACAUGCAAGUCGAACGGUAACAGGCCGUUGGGAUCCCUUCGGGGUGACCUUGGCGCUGACGAGUGGCGGACGGGUGAGUAAUGCAUAGGAAUUUGCCUUGAAGUGGGGGAUAGCCCGGAGAAAUCCGGAUUAAUACCGCAUGCGCUCUACGGAGCAAAGCGGGCCUCUGAUUCAAGCUCGCGCUUUGAGAUAAGCCUAUGUCGGAUUAGCUAGUUGGUAGGGUAAAGGCCUACCAAGGCGACGAUCCGUAGCUGGUUUGAGAGGAUGAUCAGCCACACUGGGACUGAGAUACGGCCCAGACUCCUACGGGAGGCAGCAGUGGGGAAUAUUGGACAAUGGGCGCAAGCCUGAUCCAGCAAUGCCGCGUGUGUGAAGAAGGCCUGCGGGUUGUAAAGCACUUUUAUCGGGAAAGAAAAACUCAGGGUUAAUACCCCUGGGCCUUGACGGUACCCGAAGAAUAAGCACCGGCUAACUCAGUGCCAGCAGCCGCGGUAAUACUGAGGGUGCAAGCGUUAAUCGGAAUUACUGGGCGUAAAGCGAGUGUAGGCGGCUGCGUAAGUCGGAUGUGAAAGCCCCGGGCUCAACCUGGGAAUUGCAUUCGAAACUGCGCGGCUAGAGUCUGAUAGAGGGAAGUGGAAUUCCAGGUGUAGCGGU